AACGUAAACACACGUAAAACUAGGACACGAAAAACCUCGGG
rnacentral:antisense_RNA from 1 species